rnacentral:rRNA from 1 species
AGCGACAGAAGAAGCACCGGCUAACUCCGUGCCAGCAGCCGCGGUAAUACGGAGGGUGCGAGCGUUAAUCGGAAUUACUGGGCGUAAAGCGCAUGCAGGUGGUUUGUUAAGUCAGAUGUGAAAGCCCGGGGCUCAACCUCGGAAUUGCAUUUGAAACUGGCAGACUAGAGUACUGUAGAGGGGGGUAGAAUUUCAGGUGUAGCGGUGAAAUGCGUAGAGAUCUGAAGGAAUACCGGUGGCGAAGGCGGCCCCCUGGACAGAUACUGACACUCAGAUGCGAAAGCGUGGGGAGCAAACAGGAUUAGAUACCCUGGUAGUCCACGCCGUAAACGAUGUCUACUUGGAGGUUGUGGCCUUGAGCCGUGGCUUUCGGAGCUAACGCGUUAAGUAGACCGCCUGGGGAGUACGGUCGCAAGAUUAAAACUCAAAUGAAUUGACGGGGGCCCGCACAAGCGGUGGAGCAUGUGGUUUAAUUCGAUGCAACGCGAAGAACCUUACCUACUCUUGACAUCCAGAGAACUUUCCAGAGAUGGAUUGGUGCCUUCGGGAACUCUGAGACAGGUGCUGCAUGGCUGUCGUCAGCUCGUGUUGUGAAAUGUUGGGUUAAGUCCCGCAACGAGCGCAACCCUUAUCCUUGUUUGCCAGCGAGUAAUGUCGGGAACUCCAGGGAGACUGCCGGUGAUAAACCGGAGGAAGGUGGGGACGACGUCAAGUCAUCAUGGCCCUUACGAGUAGGGCUACACACGUGCUACAAUGGCGCAUACAGAGGGCAGCCAACUUGCGAAAGUGAGCGAAUCCCAAAAAGUGCGUCGUAGUCCGGAUUGGAGUCUGCAACUCGACUCCAUGAAGUCGGAAUCGCUAGUAAUCGUGGAUCAGAAUGCCACGGUGAAUACGUUCCCGGGCCUUGUACACACCGCCCGUCACACCAUGGGAGUGGGCUGCAAAAGAAGUAGGUAGUUUAACCUUCGGGGGGACGCUUACCACUUUGUGGUUCAUGACUGGGGUGAAGUCGUAACAAGGUAGCGCUAGGGGAACCUGGCGCUG